rnacentral:rRNA from 1 species
CCUACGGGUGGCAGCAGUGGGGAAUAUUGGACAAUGGGGGAAACCCUGAUGCAGCGACGCCGCGUGCGUGAUGAAGUCAUUCGGUAUUUUAAGCUCUAUCAACAGGGAAGUAACUCACGUUACCUGAGUAAGCAGCCCCGUCUAAAUACGUGCCAGCAGCCGCGGUAAUACGUAGGGGGCCAGCGUUAUCCGGAUUUACUGGGUGUUAAGGGGGCGUAGUCGGCAGGGCGAGUGUGCAGUGAAAGGCGCGGGCUCAACCCCCGGAUUGCACUGGAAACUGUGCGGCUGGAGUGCAGGGUAGGUAAGCGGAAUUCCUAGUGUAGCGGUGAAAUGCGUAGAUAUUAGGAGGAACACCAGUGGCGAAGGCAGCUUGCUGGACUGUAACUGACGUUGAUGCUCGAAAGCGUGGGGAGCAAACAGGAUUAGAUACCCGUGUAGUC